CCUAUAAGACUGGGAUAACUUCGGGAAACCGGGGCUAAUACCGGAUAAUAUAUUGAACCGCAUGGUUCAAUGUUGAAAGACGGUUUCGGCUGUCACUUAUAGAUGGACCCGCGCCGUAUUAGCUAGUUGGUAAGGUAACGGCUUACCAAGGCAACGAUACGUAGCCGACCUGAGAGGGUGAUCGGCCACACUGGAACUGAGACACGGUCCAGACUCCUACGGGAGGCAGCAGUAGGGAAUCUUCCGCAAUGGGCGAAAGCCUGACGGAGCAACGCCGCGUGAGUGAUGAAGGUCUUAGGAUCGUAAAACUCUGUUGUUAGGGAAGAACAAAUUUGUUAGUAACUGAACAAGUCUUGACGGUACCUAACCAGAAAGCCACGGCUAACUACGUGCCAGCAGCCGCGGUAAUACGUAGGUGGCAAGCGUUAUCCGGAAUUAUUGGGCGUAAAGCGCGCGUAGGCGGUUUCUUAAGUCUGAUGUGAAAGCCCACGGCUCAACCGUGGAGGGUCAUUGGAAACUGGGGAGCUUGAGUGCAGAAGAGGAGAGUGGAAUUCCAUGUGUAGCGGUGAAAUGCGCAGAGAUAUGGAGGAACACCAGUGGCGAAGGCGGCUCUCUGGUCUGUAACUGACGCUGAUGUGCGAAAGCGUGGGGAUCAAACAGGAUUAGAUACCCUGGUAGUCCACGCCGUAAACGAUGAGUGCUAAGUGUUAGGGGGUUUCCGCCCCUUAGUGCUGCAGCUAACGCAUUAAGCACUCCGCCUGGGGAGUACGACCGCAGGUUGAAACUCAAA
rnacentral:rRNA from 1 species